AGAGAGCCGAGAGAGAGAGGAGAUCGAGAGAUUGCGAGAAAGAGAUGAUUGCGAGAGAUGGAUGGCCGAGGGCUGACCGAUAUGGUCAAUUGCAGCGCCCAGCGACGGUGGCCGCGUGCUGGCUGGAGCCGAGCAGAGGCAGGCAUAGCGGUUGUGGCAUUGGGGGUGCUUCUAACAGAGAGGAAGGCGGUCGCUGGCGGUCGCAGCGUGCAGAGGUUGAUACGACGCCUGAGUUGGUAGCCGGCCACUACUGAAGCGACGUCAAUGGCGGCUUGAAGAAGCCGCGGCCAUGGCCGCGGUGCUGGAGCUCGGGAUGAGCAAUGGAGACCGAGAUAGAAGCGGUCGGUGGUGGUCGCUCAAGCAGCGGCUGAGGCAGCAACCGGCAUCGACUGAAGGAAGAAGCGGCGAAGGCCGGUGACGCCGCACCAACAGCAGGGCGCCAGGGGCUGCUCGCGGCGGUGGCUGCUCGCGAUGAUGGCAGCCGGCUGGCUGCCGCGCGACGGUCGAAGGCGGCCUACCGGAGGUCAGAGGCAAGCGGCGGCAGUACGAGCGGAGACCCGGCGGUGGCGGCGGCCAGCGGUUGGCGCACACAGGUGCUGGUCAUGCGAAGAAGGAGAAGAAGCCGUGAAGAAGAUGAACAGGGGGAGGGAAAAGAAAAAUAAAGAAAAAAGAAAAUUAGAAAAGAAAAUAAAAGGAAAAUCUGGAAAAUGGGAAAAAAUAGAAAUAAAUUCUAGAAAAUUCUAGAAAAAUUCUAGAAAUUAUUUUGAGGCUUGAGGAGUGUGUCGGAAGCUCGAGAAUAGGAUUUCGGGCAUGAGAUGACAGCUCGGGAAGCAGCGUCGGCGUGGGCGAUUGGUCGAUUUUUCCUUCCAAUUGAAUGAGGUUCGACCGGAGGGACGGUGAUCCUAGCAGAACUUGAAAUUCAAGCUGGAAUUCGUGCCGAGACAGAGAUGAAGCUUCGAGCCAGAUGUUGCAAGUCCGAAUGCAAGCAAGGAUGGUGUCGGGAGACUAUAGUGGCGACUAGCAUCGUUGCCCAAGAUGUGUGGAUGUGUACUCUCCUGUAUUUUCAUUCUUGUAUUUAUGUGAUUGAAUGUAAACGAUAUUGAGCACUAGAUGUGUUUAAUUGUUGUAAUCAUUAUAGUGUGAUAAAUGAUUGUGAGAUUAUUCGUUGUCUAUGGCUUAGUUGGAGAGGCCGAG